AAGUAUGUUUCAAACAAAUGUAAUAAAUACUCAAAACGUAUUACUUGCUACUUGAUUGCAUUUUAUAAUCACCUACGCAUUUGAGUUUUUUAGUGCCCAUUGUGUCUGUCUAUCUGCAUGUCUUCUCAGCGCUGUAUUCAGUGGUAUCAUGCUAGAAUCUUGCAAUCGGCCAUGCUGGGAGUAUUUACACUAUUAAAAGAGGCAAACACUACAUGUCAGAGUUUUAUUGGACAGCCAGUUGUUAGACAUUUACCAGCACAAUCCUGGGGCAGAUGUCACCUCUGACUGACAGCAGAAGUGAAUUGUAAAUCCUUGGUCAACAUUCCUGUCACUGCCAUUUGCUACUCAGCUUAUACACACCCAGGUCUAAGCAAGACACAGCCAGAAGGCCCACUAUAGUCACUUCUUAAAUUACAAGCAAAAGCACCAAAACUCCUGCAUAGAAUCCAUUCCAUAACUGACUGUUAGGUAUGUUAUUUUUGUCUUGUGGGAUUGUUGAAAUGACUAGAAACCUCUGUUUCCAUGGAUAAAGGAGACAUCUCUGAAGGUCAAUCCAGUCCUCCUGAGUCGUCCCGGAUUUCUCUUUCACGGUGGUUCCAGCCUAAUGGUUGCGGAGCUCCUUUGGCCCCAGCUUCCAUGCAGCACUCGGCGCUGACCCCCGGAGGUCCUGAGAGUCAGAAGUGCAUUUCGCCCAUGCUGCUUGUUAUCGGCUUAGCUUCUGCAGUGGCAGAACAGGAAAGACAUCUCACAGCACUGUGCACCACGCUGCCCUGCACCGAGCUCCUCGUACCUACAAGAAGUGUAUAACAACAGAGCCAGGACACAGGUUUGAGAGGAACAUGUGCCCACUGCAUCCAUCAAUGCCUGCAGGCCUGGGUGCCCAGCAACCACAAGAAACAUCCUGUGCCCUUACAGACUUCUCCCUCCCCAAGUCUCAACCUCCUUUCCUCAAGCCUCAAAAAUUUCUGCUCUCCCCCGAGCACCUGUCCUCCCUUACCCAAAUCACCCCGCUCUUGGCACUGAUGGUCUCUUCGCCCUUGGCCCACCUACACCUAGGCUGAAAUAAACUCCAUUUGUUGCUUUAACUUUGCCUGAUUCAGUGGUCCCAGUCAUGCCUCAGUUUACCCUAACCCAUUCCAC
rnacentral:lncRNA from 1 species